ACAGACUGCUGAGGAGGCAGAAGAACUCAUUGAGGGAUCCUCUAUUGAGCAACAAAGUCACCUGCUGUUUAAUGGAAUAUAUAUCACAUAUAUAUAUGGAAGGAGAGAGAGAGAGUUGGCUUGUGCAGUUAAUGAAGCUGAGAAGUUCAAGAUCUGCAGCUUGUGAUUGUACUGGUAUAGUACCAGCCCCGGUCCAAAGAUCUGAGAAACAGGAAAGGUGAUGGUGCCAUUUCCUGCACAAAUCUGAAGACAGAAGAGCAAUGUCUCAGCUCAAAGACAAUCAAGUAGAGAGAAAACAUUCUCCCUUUUUUUCUAUUCAGGACUUCAGCCGAUUAGAUCAGAACUACACACAUUUGGAAUCUGCCCUACUCAGUCUGCCAAUUCAAAUAUUAAUCUCAUCCAAAAGCCCCUCACAUAUACAACAGAAAUAAAGAUUAACCAAAUAUGUGGGCACUCCAUAGCUUAGUAAAGUUGACACAUAAAAUUAAUCGUGAUUCCAACACUUGUCAAUUUGGCACCCAGAUAAAACUUUACAAACCAUACUUAAACUCCAAAUAAAGGCGCUAACAAGGUCAUAAUUUUACCUAACCUGAUACAACUAUCCUGUGCACAACCUGAAAGGCACUAACACCAGCUCCAGAAGAGGAGAUAAAGUUUUUGAGUAAUGUUUACUCUUCUCUUUGAUAUUAUGCAACUUAAAUACAAUGACGUAAAAUGAACAAUACUUAAAUACUAUGAUAUAUAGCCAAUAUAUCUUAAGUUACAUGAUGAGGAAAUACGAGAGAGAAGAAAACUGUUUGCUUGAUACACACAGGAACAUAUUUCAACCAAAAUAAAGAGGGAUACUCAUGACAAUCAUAGUCUUUUUUUUUUCUGUAACUGAUCACUUGAUUGUAGCUGAUAUUUAUAAUAUAAGUACCUUCUUCCACUGCCUAUUCUGUAUAACCUUUGCUUAAUUCAAGCACCUCAGCUGGUUGUGGUUCUUUACCAAGUGGGGUGAUGUAAACCUUUCUUCCUGAAGUGUCUGGGCCAUGAGUAGUCCUUCCUGAAUUGAGUUGUUGGAAUUUCCCAUUGACCUUAAUUGAAGGGCAUGCUAAUACUAAAUGACACCCAAAGUGAUCUCUUGUAUUCCAGACAUCCUCUUU
rnacentral:lncRNA from 1 species